AUGACAAUUAGUGAAGUUUUCUGAAGAUGGUCAGUCUCACCCGUACAAACUGAGCGAAAAUGAGCGAGCAGCUUGGUGGUGCUUAGCUGUCCAUUGGUGUGAAACCACCACACUGUAAUUAUCACGAUCAAGGCAGAUGACGUCUGUCUACAGCCCUGUAUCUAAAUACAGUGGAACCUUUAGAGAGAGCUCCUUUCCAUUCUCUCUUUACAACCCUUACAAAGGAGGAUGACUCCGGGAGAAACUUAACCAGGUUUGUUUCCCCACCAAAGAAGAAAUAAAACAGUACAAGUGUGUGCUCUGAUUCA
rnacentral:lncRNA from 1 species